AAAAAGACAAACCCUGGGUUUCCGUGUCAAACUUUGACUGUCCGUCUUAUAUGAAAUUUUUUUAUAAUUCGUAUUUUCAUUGUUGUUAGAUGAUAAAACAUGAUUAAUAUUUUAUGCGUGACUUGUCUUUUUAUUUUUUUUUAUAAUUUUUUUAAAUAAGACGGACGGUCAAACGUUAGCCACGAAAACCAGAGUUUGUCUUUUUU
rfam:Oryza barthii chromosome 9, whole genome shotgun sequence.